UGUAACUUGAUUCAAUCAAGGGAUUGAAUCAAGGGGUUAAGGUUUGUUGGUGAGCCAAAGGAAAAACCAACGGUGUUAAGGUUUGUUGGUGAGCCAAAGGAAAAAACCAACGUUGUAAGGUUGUGGUUGGUGAGCCUUUGGGGAAAACCAACUGGGUUGAUUGUGAACCCGGAAAACAAUCAUUGUAAGGUUGUGGUUGGUGAGCCUUUGGGAAAACCAACUGGGUUGGAUUGUGAGCCCGUGAAAACAAUCGGUUGGUUCUAGUCGGUGAGCCUGUGAAAACCGACCGAGUUCGUUGUGAUCUCGCAAAACAACAAGUUGGGUUGUGAGCUUGUAAAACAACUGGCUGUAAUCUGAGAGAUUAUAGUGAAAUUCCCAAGAGGUCUUGGGGAGUGGAUGUAGGUGCUGGGGUGCACCGAACCACUAUACAUCUUUGUGUUUGUGAUGCUUUAUCUCUUGUGUUUCAUGCCUUACAUUCAUACUUGAUUGUGUAAUAUCUCUAGCUUUGUUUUCUAUUAAUUUAUAAGU
rnacentral:lncRNA from 1 species